rnacentral:tRNA from 3 species
GGAAGUGGAAAGCUCACUGGUGGGGCUCCCGGACUUCAAAUCCGGUGUGUCGCGACGAAAAUCGGGACAGGUGGGUUCGAUUCCCAUGCACUUCCGCCA